rnacentral:snRNA from 1 species
GGCUUGUGGCAGCCAAGCGUUC